ensembl:processed_transcript
GACUCAUUUCCCUGAAGGUCUCUUACCAUAGGCGCCUUCCUCAUCUCUUGCCAUCUUCCUUCCCCCCAUGCUUCUUAGAAGGCUCUCAGUUUUGAUUUUCUCAUUUGUGUUCUCAUUCCUGCAACUGAGCAAAACCCAACCACAGAGUCAGGCAAGGUCUAAAAACACAAAGCAAGGCUUUUGUCUGCAAGGAGCUGAACAUGUAGGCGUGUGCUUCAGUUUACAAGCAUGUAGGGGGCACCUUUUGUCCACCAUAAUACAUUCUUCUAUUCCUUCUUAGAGAUAGCAUCUGGAUUUUGAAGAUAACAUCUAGAGAGACCAGAAAGAUGGUUGCAAUGCUAGCUUGACAACCUGAGCUUGCCCUCCUGACCUCAGGAAAGGUGGAUGAAGAGAACCAACUCCACAAAGUUGUCUUAUGAGCCCUUUGCUUUAAACUUUUCCCUUCUACUACCUAUGUUAUAACAUUAUCUGGUACAGCCAAGCACUUCCAGGUCACUUAAGCCUGAUCCCAGGGGUCCUCAAGCCCAAAGCAGUGUCCCCCCAGGUCUGCUACUCCAGCCUCUUAUUCAGCUAACAGGUCUAGCCAGUGACCUCCCAGAAGUCAGAUUCAGCCUCUUCAGCUCUCUCUCUCUCUGACCUUUCUCUGGUGAUAGCUUUGGUUCCACACUCCUGUCUAAGUGCUUAUCUGCAUUUGUCCAUCAUUUCAUGGUCCAUCUCUUUGUCUCCAUUAUGGGUGAUAUGUUCCCUCCCUCUCUCCCUCCUGUGGACACAACACCAGAGAAGAGUAAUGUUAACUCAAUAGCCUAUCUCCUACAGAAGGGCUUUGCAAACCAGAUGGGCUAGUACCCCUUCCAUCUCCCAAAGCCUUUAGUAGAACUCUCUGUGAGAUUCCAUGUCACUGUUCUGUGUGCAGAAAUCAGCAAAUGCCCACAAAUGACACAGAUCAGAAAUGAAGAAACAGCCGUAAGACUGAGAGCAAUGAGCAAGGCUUGAGGAGCUUAAUCUGGAGGAAAAUGAGUAGGCACGCACAGCGACUCCACCAAAGUCCAGGGCAGGACACCAGGACUUCCCAGAGUUCAGAGUGGAGGCUGAGCUUCCUUUGAUAAUUUCUAAGAGAAAAGCAAACACUGAGUGAAAUCUCAGGUGAUAAAUGUUUCUAUUAUCUGGCAACAUAAAGCACGUGCAGUUCUAUAUGUGCAAGAGAGCCCAAGAUAGUCCAGUUCCUUGCCUACAAGCUUGAUGGGGUUUUGUGGGGUUUUUUGUUUGGUUUUGGUUUUUGAUUUUUUUUUUUUGUUUUUGUUGUUUUGUUUUGGGAAAUAUUUAGGUGUUCCCCUCAACAUCGCAUUUCUUGGAUCCAUCCUCAGCUGUUCUGAUACAGCAAGUAGGAUCUUUCUCACAAGCUUAGUCUGCAUCCAGAAUUUGAAAAUCAUUGUUUCUUAAACCCUUCCUAGUAGACAGGAAGAAACAGAGGUAUCCCUGCAGGUGGAGUGGGACAAACUCCAGGAAGCAAUGGCUUACAAGACAAGUGAGGGCUGAGUCCAUUCCUCUCAAGUUUGCUAGAGCCCCUCCUACAGGCAAUGAGAAGAAGAGGCUUCUGAGAGACAGACAGACAGACUCCUGAGAGACAGACGUGGCCCGUUAGGAGUGGCCUUGAAGGCACGGUUUAUAGGGACACAGAAGGAUCUGUUGCCUUUGCUCAAUGUGCAUU